AAACCUCCCCGCCGGAAGACCAAGGGUUCCUGUCCAACGUUAAUCGGGGCAGGGUAAGUCGACCCCUAAGGCGAGGCUGAAAAGCGUAGUCGAUGGGAAACGGGUUAAUAUUCCCGUACUUCUUACAAUUGCGAUGGGGGGACGGAGAAGGCUAGGUGGGCCUGGCGACGGUUGUCCAGGUUCAAGUGCGUAGGCUGAGUGUUUAGGUAAAUCCGGAUACUCUUAAGGCUGAGACACGACGUCGAGCUACUACGGUAGUGAAGUCAUUGAUGCCAUGCUUCCAGGAAAAGCCUCU
rnacentral:rRNA from 1 species